UCCGCAGGUGGAAGGGUAAGUCUGGUGUAACAGCCCCCGGCUUAACUGGGGUAGCCAUUGGAAACUGCUUUUCUUGAGUCACGGAGAGGGGUGCGGAAUUCCGGGUGUAGUGGUGGAAUGCGUAGAGAUCCGGAGGAACACCAAAGGCGCAAGCAGCACCCUGGUCGAGGACUGACACUGAGGGACGAAAGUAUGGGGAGCAAACA
rnacentral:rRNA from 1 species